rnacentral:rRNA from 1 species
CCUACGGGGGGCAGCAGUGGGGAAUAUUGGACAAUGGGCGAAAGCCUGAUCCAGCCAUGCCGCGUGUGAGAAGAAGGCCUUCGGGUUGUAAAGCACUUUCAGUGGGGAAGAAAGCCUUGGGGCUAAUACCCUCGAGGAAGGACAUCACCCACAGAAGAAGCACCGGCUAACUCCGUGCCAGCAGCCGCGGUAAUACGGAGGGUGCGAGCGUUAAUCGGAAUUACUGGGCGUAAAGCGCGCGUAGGCGGUCUGAUAAGCCGGUUGUGAAAGCCCCGGGCUCAACCUGGGAACGGCAUCCGGAACUGUCAGGCUAGAGUGCAGGAGAGGAAGGUAGAAUUCCCGGUGUAGCGGUGAAAUGCGUAGAGAUCGGGAGGAAUACCAGUGGCGAAGGCGGCCUUCUGGACUGACACUGACGCUGAGGUGCGAAAGCGUGGGUAGCAAACAGGAUUAGAUACCCUUGUAGUC